rnacentral:rRNA from 1 species
UCCUACGGGGGGCAGCAGUGGGGAAUAUUGGGCAAUGGGCGCAAGCCUGACCCAGCAACGCCGCGUGAAGGAAGAAGGCUUUCGGGUUGUAAACUUCUUUUCUCAGGGACGAAGCAAGUGACGGUACCUGAGGAAUAAGCCACGGCUAACUACGUGCCAGCAGCCGCGGUAAUACGUAGGUGGCAAGCGUUAUCCGGAAUUACUGGGUGUAAAGGGAGCGUAGGCGGGACUGCAAGUUGGGUGUCAAAUCUACCGGCUCAACCGGUAGCCGCACUCAAAACUGCAGGUCUUG